rnacentral:tRNA from 1 species
GGAUAGUUAGCUAAGUUGGUUAAAGCGCUGCUUUGCUAAAGCAGUUGCCCCUUUUGGGCUUCAUUGGUUCGAGUCCAAUACUAUCCGA